UUCCCUUUUCAGAGUGUGUCUGCGUGUUGCGUCGGACGGUCGCAUCUAUUUCCCCGUCUGAGUUUGUUCUUUUCCUAUCCGUGUGUUUGCUUGUGUGUAAAAUGUGUUGGUGCUGUGCUUGUUUGCGUGUGUGUAGGAUAGUGUUAGACCCAUUAGGGGCAUCAUUGGCUUAGGUUAAGCGUAGUUAGUGUAGGGCCAAUGGUGAAAGCCACCAGAUUGACUGUGCCGGUGUCGUUGGCCAGCUAUUUGGUGCCUUUUAUUGAUUGUGUUCCAGCAACAAGUAUGCCGAACUGAUUGCCCGUGACAAUACCAAGGGCUCAAGAUUUAAAAGGAAUGAUAAUUAACAGUUCUGUGCAGGAUUUCGUCAGUGAGGGUGUCACAUAUCUUGAUGUAGAUUCUGGCAAGAGAAAAACAGAAGACAGUUACGCCAAUGGGUUUGAGGAAGGAACGCAGAAAUUUUUAAGAUGAUAUAAUGCAGAUUCAUAAGUUUUUUAAAUACCCGGUUGCUUUAUUUUCAACCGAUUCCGCCUCCCUUCGGUACAUUAUCUAUCUAGCUAUCUUUCAUGAGGCAAUGAGGCUAGAGUAUGAACGAUGAAAAUUAGGAAAAGCUUCGAUGACGACAAUAAAUAUCAACAAAAAUUGUCCUUCGAUCGUCAGUAUCUCUAGGAUUCUUCCAAAAUUCUUAUGGAGAGGGGAAAAGCCUCCGUCAAAUCUCAGGUUCACAUAAAUUUUGAAUUCUCCAUAAGUUCUUGUUGGUUCUUGUUCUUACGCAAUGUUUAAUUAUACAAAUAUGUUGAGCUUCUCUCGAUAAAGUAAACUUAGCAGAUUAUUAACUAGGAAAACUUUUGGAACGCUAGGCCAUAAAAGGAAAGAGUGUAGACUUCCGGUUUUGUAAAAAAAAUGUAGCACUGAUAAAUAAUAUUCUGAUAAUUCCAGCUUUUGAUCUAACUAAUUUGGGGCAAUUUCAGGUAACCCUUUAAGAACAGAUUUUUGAUACAGUACCAAGUUAUUAUUGACUCGCUAAAUUUCUCGUACAUCCUCAGAAAAAUAGAUUUUGGGAGUACCUAAAUCGCAAAAUCGAACGCCUAAAAUGCGAAACCCUACGCGAAACGUGCAGUAUUUUUCUAAUAACAUUUUAAAACUGUUUUAAAUUCUAAAUUGUGAUUGUUUCGUGGUUUUACCUCUUUCAACUGUGCAUUUGUUUCAUCUUCCGACAUAAACAAUGGGUCGGUUUCUGCCUCACUCUCAGACCCUUCGACAUUCUCGUUUGGAGUGUUGGGCGUGGCCUCAAACCCUACUAUAGCUUCCUGCGGAGUGGCCGCAUCCUUUGGCUUUUCCGUCGGGGACAAAUGUGGCGGAUCAUCUGACGCCUUAUUGUGGGAUUCUUCCUCGCACCCGGACCCUACGGCAUUCUCGUUUGGAGUGUUGGGCAUGGCCUGAACAUAUCCAAUCACUUCCUGUGGAGUGGCUGCAUGCUGUGGCUUUUCCGUCAAGCAAAAUGUGGCGGCUCAUUUGACGCCUCGAUUGGUCGUUUUCUUCCUCGCUCCUGGAUCCUUCGGAAUCCUCUUCGGAGUGUUAGGCGUGGCCUCAACAUCUCAAGUCGCCUCACCCUUGAUUACCAGUCUUACCUAUAUUGCAAAAUGUGUGACUACUCCUCCUCCUUCCUACUGCCGGACAGCAAAGACAACGCCCAAACAAUCAAACUACUCGAGAAAGGUGUGCGCUACAAGAAUGACCGCUACAAAUUGGAUAUGGGAUAUGCCGAAAGAUACGGUAGUAGCACCAGGUCGAUUCUGGAAAGAGCCUAAAUAAAAAUGUUGUCAAGACCAAGGCCACAGAGACAACAAUAGGAGAUUUCGUAAACCAAAGUCAUGCAAAAAAAACUGGAAGAAGACGAACUCGAAGACCCUGUCAGCCGUUCGUGGUACCUACCUCACCACGCAUUCUUCAACCCAAGGGAGCCUGGAAAAUUUCGAGUGGUUUUUCUGACGAUGCUGCUUCCUUUCGUGUCAUUUCAUUGAAUAAAUGCUCGUUGACCGGCCCCGAUCUGCUAACACCUCUCAUCUAGAUUCUUCUCAGGCUCCAGGAGCGAAGCCAUCUGCCAUCACCGGAGACAUUAAGGGUUCUAAUCUUUGAAGCCACCUUCUUCCCCGCCGUCUACUCGUACGUCCUCCGAAGGGUAAAUGAAGAGAAGUUCCCUGGGCUGACGAAAAAGGCCGAGAAGAAUUUUUAUAUGGACAACUAUAUUUCGACACUGAAGAAGAAAUGGUGGAAUCUUAGAGUGAAAUUCAAGAAGGAUUAUGAACGGCAGAUUUUUUCUGGAUCUAAAAGAUGUCAACGUCAAAAACUCUCAACACUAUCCCCAACGAUCUUAGGUCCGACCUAAUCUAAACUUGAACCUUUAUGCCCUUCUCGUGAAAAAGACGCUGGGGAUCAUGUUAAACUGGCAAGAGGGUCAUUUUUUAUUUAAGGAUUUUGGACCACCAUUAUCGCCUCGACAUAAGAAUUCUCCAAGUCAUCUGUCGUCUGAAAUCCGAAUGGGACGACACCCUGCCAAAAGCGGUAAUUCCGCAAUGGUAGUCAUACUAAUCUGCUUUAUUUGGAAUCCCUUAACAUCCCAAGAUGCAUACAGCCCUUUUCUCCGACGUCCAUCCAGCUACACGCCUUCGUUGAUGCAAGUGGCCCAUUUCUUUGAGUGUACAUACAACUGUUAAACACACCGGACUGUCUUGCAUCGUUAAAUGAAGAAGGUGAAGGUAAGAAAUGAAAAAAUUUCAAAUUUGCUACAACUUGCUAAAAAGCAAUGUGGAAAAGGAUUUGUUUUUGGUUUUUCAAUAUCUUUCCAGUUUGUGAGCAAAAAAAUGUAACCAAAAAUGUAAAUGUAUCCCUUUGGGCUUUGGCCAAUCAAUCCAGCAUGAUUAAACUGAAAAAAAUGCGAUACAUUCUAUGUGGGGAUGUAUACAAUUACUGAUAAUACACAAGCUUCGAUAAUUUUAA